CGCUAUGUCGUCCUUUCGGCCCACUUCCCCUUUCAUGCUGUACGUUCCGAUCGAGUGGGGGAAACAAAUUUUAAAUUCACGUCUAUGUUGUGUCGUUGUCAUCGUCCUAUAUUACGUGCUGUAAUACGGUUCAUCUGACGCUGGGUAGUAAACUACGACGAAAAUCAUGUUUAUAAAAAUAAUGACAAACAGGGAGCUGCGCGACAAGGCACGCCGAGUUAUUGUGUUCGAGCUAAGGACCUUAAACAACCUUCGACCGAACUAAUGGGAGGAACAAAAGGGUUCACAGCGAUUUCCGUGAAAGAGUAAACGAUAUAUCAGCGACGACUAGCAGCGCUGGUUAAACAUCAUCGGCAAUAAAGCAUGCUUUGCAUCGAGCGAACAGUUGCCUUUAGUCUGCAUUUGGAUUAAGGGGAGGGGUGGAUUAAAAGUGAAAAUAACGUUCUGGAUCUCUUUAACGCUAAACAUCAGAACGGAACAACCGAUGGAAAAGCUUCGAGCGUAUUACGCGAAUUAGUGUCGUUUCCACCCUCGCAGCUCGUCCCGUGAAUCGCAUUAAACGUUAAUGCUUAUAUAUUAAUAUAUUAAUCGAGCAGCUGAACGUGGAAACUGAACGAUUCAGCAGCGGCUCUAUGCCAGGAUUUUGCAACGCCAUUAAUCAAAUAAUAAAUAAGUUUGGAUAACUUUCGUAGCACGAUGGUUGAAAAUGUUGAACCUGUUUCAUUAGCGAUUAAUUUAUUGAUAAUGCGAGGAUGGGAAUUUAACUGUUCAAUGGGAGUCAUUGAAUUUUGUGGACUAAAAAUGUGCGAAAAGAUCGAAUGUUCGAUGCUACGC